CAGGAACCUGAAACUGAAGUAGCUAAACUGAAUUCAACCGCCACUAAUUGUGUUGUUCACACCUGUGCCUCACCUGCAUGGGUAUUGGAUAGUUGGGGUAGGCAGGCAGGGUUUGUCCUGAGGGACAGAAGCCAGCGUAGAACAACUUCGUGGCAUGGAAGGCAACUUUGUAGGAGUCCUGCUCACCAUGUCCUUGUAAGCUCCGAGGAUGGCGGCCGCGAUGAUUCCCAGGAACAAGCCGAUCACGUUGAGCACCACUGAGGCCCAAAGCAGGCGGUGCAGGUGGAUCACGUCCCAGCAGCUGUUGACCCCGGUGAACUCAUAGUACUGUGUGUGGUACUCUGUGCUGGAAGAGGGAGGGAAGAGUGGGGAUUCAGGAUUACUUGGACCAGUACACUCCUAUUGUUAUUUUCAUAAAUCACAAAGCAUGUGUGCAUAAAUGAAGAAAAGGAAGAAAACAAAGAAUCCUCCACUGUG